ACAUGAAAGUCUAUAAAUCUAUCCUCUGAAAAUCAGUCAGAUGCUCAUGCUCAUAUACAGAAACUUUCACAUAACCUAGAUCGUUAUUCCUAAUAUGGCAUUGCUUAAGUUCGGUUUCGUGUUUACUAUUCUUCUCGUGGCAACCACCAUCAAUACGCCUUGGUUCUCAAAAAUGCAAGUGAUGGCUGCACGAGAUGAUAGUCAAGAUCUGUCGAGACUGGAGAGGAGAUUACUACCACAACGCAAUGAUAUUUUAACAUGUGCGAGAGACUGUAAAUACAAUAGUGAAUGUAAAGCAGAUUGCUGGAUUUGUUGUAUAUGUUUUCUGGGUACAUGCAACGUAGAUGUAUAGUGCAUCUCUUGUUAUGUGAUUCCCAUGUUUUAUUUCCUUUCUUCUUUCUUUUGUUUGAUUCCUGUUUUUCUUGUUUCCUCGUCUUUCAUACUUUAAAUUUGUAAUGCUAAUAAUAAAGUCAGCUGAAUGACUUUCUAUUUUGGCGUAAUAAUAUUUGUUGCUAUUUUUUCUCUAUCA